UACGGGGGGAGCAAGCGUUGUUCGGAUUUACUGGGCGUAAAGGGCGCGUAGGCGGUCGUGACAAGUCACUUGUGAAAUCUCCGGGGCUUAACUCGGAACGGUCAAGUGAUACUGUCGGACUAGAGUACAGAAGGGGCAACUGGAAUUCUCGGUGUAGCGGUGAAAUGCGUAGAUAUCAGGAGGAACACCAAUUGCGAAGGCAGCUCGCUGGGACGUUACUGACGCUGAGGAGCGAAAGCGUGGGGAGCAAACAGG
rnacentral:rRNA from 1 species